rnacentral:lncRNA from 12 species
AGGAAAAAAAAAAGAUUUUUUUUUUUGAGGCAAUGUGGAGUCCUAUUCCUAAUCCAAGGGGAGAUAAUGGAAGAGGACUCCAACUCUGUUAGAGUUUCUGCAGGAUAUCAUCCAGGCUGGGACGAGCAAUACUGAACAGCAACAACAGCUGGAGUCUGCUUGAACACUGCUGUGUUCAUCACCACAAACUCCUCUUUGAACUGGAGUGUCCUUUUUACAGCUGUGAUGUACCUGGUUAAUUGCAAUGAUGGUGCAUGACUGGGGGCAAUGGGGGAAUCCUUGGAGAAAAGGUUUGGCAUACCUAAUGUACUUUGAAAAAACCACACCACUGCAAACAAGGAACCUCUGCAACAAGUGUUGUGUAUUAACCAUGUAUAUGUGACAGAAAAAUGUGUAUCCAACUAAAGCCUCUGUUACAUACACACACGUGCCAGCAACACCUUUAAAGUUUUCAGCGUUUGGUUUUGGUGCUUAAAAUUCAACGAUGCUCAUGCUUCAAAAUCUGGAAGGAUAACACGAAGACAUGAGGUGCCUCAGGGCAAUGAAAGUUACUUCUUAGAGGUAUUUGUGACACAUGAUUUAAAAUAGGAUGCCUAGCUUUUAUUACUCCAAAUCAUUUCUGUUGGUCAUAGAUAUACAGGAAUAGGGUAAAUCCAUUCCUAGUCUGGUAACUUCUCCUCCUUCACUUCCAAGAAAUUCAAUUUUUGUUUUAAAAUGUACAUGUAAUUAAAGGACAUGUAAUUCAGCAGAAAGUCUUUAAAAUGCAUAACUGAUUAUCUACUUCCUGUAAUUGCUGGUUUGUAUAUUGAAACUUAGAUUGAG